ensembl:lncRNA
AUGGAUUUGAACCCUCCAGAAUUAAGACAGCUUUACAUACAUAUCAGAAGUUAUCUUAACAUAAAUGUUCUCUGCCCAAAUAACCUCAACUUCUAUGCCCUUCGUGAUCUGAGAAAAACAUGCAAACGACUGUCCAACAUAGCCAGGCAGACAGACGGCGAGAAAACAGAGAGAGAAGGGAGAGAUGGCUUAGAAAGUGGUCUGGCCGGAGCCUCGCGGCAGUCACUUAACAAGGCAGGGGAGAAAGCGAGGAACACAGGGAGAGGAGAGAGCAAGAGAGCAGCAGGGCCAGGACUCCCCAGGACUCGUCGCCAGCUUCCUCUUGAUUGCCUGCUGGAGAGCGAUCGAGCAACCCCUCGCAUUUCCACCCCUCCCCUACACUUUCCUCUCCUUUGAGAAAUGACCACCAAUUUCCCCCGCUCCUCUGAGAAAGCCCCCAAUCCAAUCCUUGUCCUUUUUUUCUUUUUUCCUCCAACCACAUGGGCCCAGGUGCAUUCUGCUACCUAGUGACCAGGGUUGUGGAUGCGCAGGAACACGUCACUUAGAGAACCUCUUUGGCCCCAGACCACUGGAGUGAAUCUUUAAUAUUUGAUUAGACGAGCUUCAAGCAUCAAUUAUUCUGUAAUUCAACAUAGCGCGCAGAGGGUGAAGGCAAACGGUUGAAGCCUCUGACCUGUUAAUCACUGUCCAUUUUGUUCACGUCACAGAGUGAGUGAGUACAAUAGGUGUAAGCGGCGAGGACGAGAGGUGACACCGCAUGCAAACUUGUCCAGUUAAUGUAGCUCAUGGAACAAAGUGGGAUUCAAAUGUGCUGAUGGGACAUAAGAAAUAUGCAGAUAGAAGAAAAAUACACACACGCGUGGGUUUGUAUAGAUGCUUCAGUCUCAUGUGUUACAUUAAAAAAAAAAAAAUACCCUCAUUAAUUUGAACUGGAACCUGUGAAAUGUCAAAAAAAAAAAAAAAAAAAACAUACUGUAAAUCCAUAUAAUGUUUUCCAUUGUGCCAAUUAUAUUUUACAGUCUUAAAAUAUAAAUAAGCUUGAAGACCUGGUGAAUUUAGAUUUUUUUUUUGUUCUCACACUUCUUUUUGUGUAUCAAAUGCAUUUGUGUCCGUGUCUUAAAAGCCUGUGUUAUGGCACUGGCACCCGACAGCGCUGCAUGGCUACACAGUCGCACUGCAAAUAACACUUUGGUGUCAAAAUGGUGAUUUGGAAGCCUCAUGAAUACUGUAUGUUACCUAAACAGGUGUUUCCCAUUUGCAGACAGGAGGAAAAAAAUGGUCCUCUUUUUAAAAGACUCUUGUUUCUUUUCUUUUUUUUCUCCUUUUUUUUUGCCUUUCUUGUAUUUGUUUCUGUAUCAUAACUGUCUAUGGUUUUUGCAUAAAAUGCAUAAGGGUUUUGGGAUGUAAAUGGAAUUUUAUUCAUAUUUUGUCCAAAUACCUCUUGUAAUUUGUAUCAGAAUUCUUGUACAAUUUUUAUAUUAAAGAUUUAUCAGUCACUGGCAUUUUGUCAUCGCAUUUUAUUCAAACAUGAAGGAGCUGCACUUAUAAUCGCUGAAUUGUGUUAUUGUGAACAUCUUAUUAAAGAAAAAUAGCCUGACAAGAAACUGUUCUCUGUAAUGUAUUUAAAAAAAAAAAAAUACAGAGCCCUGAGACAAUGUGUCAAUCAAGCCAUUUUAACA